rnacentral:rRNA from 1 species
AGGAUAAACGCUGGCGGCGUGCCUAACACAUGCAAGUCGAACGUCCUUUCCCGCAAGGGGAAGGGAGUGGCGGACGGGUGAGUAUCACGUGGGUUAUCUGCCUUUAGGUGAGGAAUACCGGCGAGAAAUCGCCGACAAUACCGCAUAUCUUUCGUAAGAAAGAAAGCUUCGUAAGAGGUGCCUGAGGAGGAGCCUGCGCCCGAUUAGUUGGUUGGUGGGGUAAUGGCCUACCAAGACGACGAUCGGUAGCUGGUCUGAGAGGAUGAUCAGCCACACUGGGAUUGAGAACGGCCCAGACUCCUACGGGGGGCAGCAGUGAGGAAUUUUCGGCAAUGGGGGCAACCCUGACCGAGCAACGCCGCGUGCAGGAUGACAGUCUUCGGAUUGUAAACUGCUUUUCUCGGGGACGAGUAAGGACGGUACCCGAGGAACGAAGCCCCGGCUAACUACGCGCCAGCAGCCGC